UUUGGUAGCUUUCUGGAACACUAAUACUCUUAUCUCGCUGAAAUCAAACGGAUUUACAAACGGUUUGGUUUCUUAGUUCUGCCUCGUUGUAGUUGUUUUGGUAUCGGCUAAAUUAGCAUGUCGCGAUACUACAGGGGAUCACGUCUAUGCAAAUAUUUGGCUUUAAAUUUGGAUUGUAUCUGUGCAAUGUGUUUUUAAAUGCUGCAAUGUCGUGUUGCAUUCACUUUUUACACGCACACAUCCGCCCAACAGUCUAAACUCCACCAUAUGCAAUGUGUUUUAAAUGCUGUGCUGUUGGCCAUGUGUUGAAAGAUCGUCCGCCGUUCAACUCAAGGUGAGGUGCUGGUUAUAUUGCUAAUGCUGGGUUUUGACUGUAUUUGCAUUUUAGUUGUCCAUCAAUAGAUUUUUUUGAAAAAUGGUUAGGGUGUGUGUGUGUCUGUGUGUGUGUGUGUGUGUGUGUGUGUGUGUGUGUCUGUCUAGGUGUGUGUGUGUGUGUGUGGCUGUCUAGGUGUGUGUGUGUCUGUCUAGGUGUGUGUGUGUGUGUCUGUCUAGGUGUGUGUGUGUGUCUGUCUAGGUGUGUGUGUGUCUGUCUAGGUGUGUGUGUGUGUGUGUGUGUGUCUGUCUAGGUGUGUGUGUGUGUGUGUCUGUCUAGGUGUGUGUGUGUGUGUGUCUGUCUAGGUGUGUGUGUGUCUG
ensembl:lncRNA